rnacentral:rRNA from 1 species
GAUGAACGCUGGCGGCGUGCCUAAUACAUGCAAGUCGAGCGAACAGAUGAGGAGCUUGCUCCUCUGACGUUAGCGGCGGACGGGUGAGUAACACGUGGAUAACCUACCUAUAAGACUGGGAUAACUUCGGGAGACCGGAGCUAAUACCGGAUAAUAUAUUGAACCGCAUGGUUCAAUAGUGAGAGACGGUUUUGCUGUCACUUAUAGAUGGAUCCGCGCCGCAUUAGCUAGUUGGUAAGGUAACGGCUUACCAAGGCGACGAUGCGUAGCCGACAUGAGAGGGUGAUCGGCCACACUGGAACUGAGACACGGUCCAGACUCCUACGGGAGGCAGCAGUAGGGAAUCUUCCGCAAUGGGCGAAAGCCUGACGGAGCAACGCCGCGUGAGUGAUGAAGGUCUUCGGAUCGUAAAACUCUGUUAUUAGGGAAGAACAAAUGUGUAAGUAACUAUGCACGUCUUGACGGUACCUAAUCAGAAAGCCACGGCUAACUACGUG